GGAAUUAUUGGGCGUAAAGAGNUCGUAGGCGGUUUNUCGCNUCNNCCGUGAAAUUCCGGGGNUCAAACUCCGAAUCUNCGGUGGGUACGGNCAGACUAGAGUGAUGUAGGGGAGACUGGAAUUCUUGGUGUAGCGGUGAAAUGCGCAGAUAUCAGGAGGAACACCGAUGGCGAAGGCAGGUNUCUGGGCAUNAACUGACGCUGAGGAGCGAAAGCAUGGGGAGCGAACAGGAUUAGAUACCCUGGUAGUCCAUNCCGUAAACGUUGGGCACUAGGUGUGGGGGACAUUCCACUUUUUCCGCGCCGUAGCUAACGCAUUAAGNNCCCCGCCUGGGGAGUACG
rnacentral:rRNA from 1 species